AACGAACGCUGGCGGCAGGCCUAACACAUGCAAGUCGAGCGAGGACUUCGGUUCUAGCGGCGGACGGGUGAGUAACGCGUGGGAAUGUGCCCUUCUCUACGGAAUAGCCCUGGGAAACUGGGAGUAAUACCGUAUACGCCCUAUUGGGGAAAGAUUAAUCGGAGAAGGAUCAGCCCGCGUUGGAUUAGGUAGUUGGUGGGGUAAUGGCCUACCAAGCCGACGAUCCAUAGCUGGUUUGAGAGGAUGAUCAGCCACACUGGGACUGAGACACGGCCCAGACUCCGGCGAUGGCCGACAGUGGGAAAUUUUAAAGAAGGGGGAGAGCCCUAGUUUUCCCAUGCGUGAUGAUUUAUGAGGACAUUAGGGUUGUAAAGCUCUUUGAACGGGAAAAAAAAUGCGGGAACCAGCAAAAAAAGCCCCGGCAACCUCGUG
rnacentral:rRNA from 1 species